rnacentral:misc_RNA from 1 species
GCAAACUUGGUCAUUUAGAGGAAGUAAAAGUCGUAACAAGGUUUCCGUAGGUGAACCUGCGGAAGGAUCAUUACCAAUCUUUUUUAGCGGGCCUUGUCUCGCGAAACUUGUAUUUAAAACCCGCUCUUGUAAUAAUAUAAAUGAAUACUUGUAUCCUAUGAUAUAAAUAAAGAUCACUUUCAACAACGGAUCUCUUGGCUCUCGCAUCGAUGAAGAACGCAGC